ACUCCUACGGGAGGCAGCAGUGAGGAAUUUUCCGCAAUGGGCGAAAGCCUGACGGAGCAAUACCGCGUGAGGGAUGAAGGAUUUUGGUCUGUAAACCUCUUUUCUCAAGAAAGAAGUUCUGACGGUACUGAGGAAUAAGCAUCGGCUAACUCC
rnacentral:rRNA from 2 species